UACGAAGGGUGCAAGCGUUACUCGGAAUUACUGGGCGUAAAGCGUGCGUAGGUGGUGAGUUAAGUCUGUCGUGAAAGCCCCGGGCUCAACCUGGGAAUGGCGAUGGAUACUGGCUCGCUAGAGUGCGGUAGAGGAGAGUGGAAUUCCCGGUGUAGCAGUGAAAUGCGUAGAGAUCGGGAGGAACAUCAGUGGCGAAGGCGGCCAUCUGGGACAACACUGACGCUGAAGCACGAAAGCGUGGGGAGCAAACAGG
rnacentral:rRNA from 1 species